rnacentral:ncRNA from 1 species
UGAAGAGUCUCUAGUCGAUAGAAUAAUGUAGGUAAGGGAAGUCGGCAGAUUAGAUCCGUAACUUCGGGAUAAGGAUUGGUUCUGAAGAUUGAGAUAGUCGGGCUUGAUUGGGAAACAAUAACAUGGUUUAUGUGCUCGUUCUGGGUAAAUAGAGUUUCUAUCAUUUAUAGUAGUUACUUGUUCCCCGGAUAGUUUAGUUACGUAGCCAAUUGUGGAACUUUCUUGCUACAAUUUUUAAGAAUACUCAUUGGGUUAAACCAGUUAGUUCUUAUUAAUUAUAACGAUUAUCAAUUAACAAUCAAUUCAGAACUGGCACGGACUUGGGGAGUCCCACUGUCUAAUUAAAACAAAGCAUUGUGAUGGCCCUAGCGGGUGUUGACACAAUGUGAUUUCUGCCCAGUGCUCUGAAUGUCAAAGUGAAGAAAUUCAAGUAAGCGCGGGUCAACGGCGGGAGUAGCUAUGACUCUCUUAAGGAAGAUAUGGAUCUGAAUAAUAGCGUAGAAGGGGAUUUAUUCCGUAAUUCGUUAAUCGUAAAAAUCAGAUCAAGUUGAUUCAAGACCUCCUCGU